rfam:Blumeria graminis f. sp. tritici 96224 unplaced genomic scaffold Scaffold-14, whole genome shotgun sequence.
GGGCGGUUAGAUCAGUGGUAGUAUCGCUCGCUUUGCAUGCGAGAGGUCGUGGGUUCAAUCCCCACACCGUCCA